UACGUAGGGUGCAAGCGUUGUCCGGAAUUAUUGGGCGUAAAGAGCUCGUAGGCGGUUUGUUGCGUCGGCUGUGAAAUCCCGAGGCUCAACCUCGGGUCUGCAGUCGAUACGAGCAAACUAGAGUGUUGCAGGGGAGACUGGAAUUCCUGGUGUAGCGGUGAAAUGCGCAGAUAUCAGGAGGAACACCGGCGGCGAAGGCGGGUCUCUGGGCAACAACUGACGCUGAGGAGCGAAAGCGUGGGGAGCGAACAGG
rnacentral:rRNA from 1 species